AUUGAACGCUGGCGGCAGGCCUAACACAUGCAAGUCGAACGAGUGGCGGACGGGUGAGUAAUGUCUGGGAAACUGCCUGAUGGAGGGGGAUAACUACUGGAAACGGUAGCUAAUACCGCAUACCAUCAGAUGUGUCCAGAUGGGAUUAGCUAGUUGGUGGGGUAACGGCUCACCAAGGCGACGAUCCCUAGCUGUGCUGAGAGGCUGACCAGCCGCACUGGAACGUAGACACGGUCCAGACUCCUACGGGAGGCACCAGUGGGGGAUAUUUCACAAUGGUCGCAAGCCUGAUGCAGCCAUGCCGCGUGUAUGAAGAAGGCCUUCGGGUUGUAAAGUACUUUCAUCGGGGAGGCGUUACCCGCAGAAGAAGCACCGGCUAACUCCGUGCCAGCAGCCGCGGUAAUUC
rnacentral:rRNA from 1 species